GAAAUACAAGGAACACCACAAAGAUACUCCUCGAGAAGAGCAACCCCAAGACACAUAAUCAUCAGAUUCACCAAGGUUGAAAUGGAAAAAAUGUUAAGGGCAGCUAGAGAGAAAGGUCAGAUUACCCACAAAGGGAAGCCCGUCAGACUAACAGCAGGUCUCUCUGCAGAAACCCAACAAGCCAGAAGAGAGUGGGGGCGAAUAUUCAACAUUCUUAAAGAAAAGAAUUUUCAACCCAAAAUUUCAUAUCCAGCCAAACUAAGCUUCAUAAGCAAAGGAGAAAUAAAAUCCUUUACAGACAAGCAAAUGCUGAGAGAUUUUGUCACCACCAGGCCUGCCCUAAAAAGAGCUCCUGAAGGAAGCACUAAACAUGGAA
rnacentral:lncRNA from 10 species